UACGUAGGGACCGAGCGUUGUCCGGAUUUAUUGGGCGUAAAGAGCUCGUAGGCGGCUUGUCGCGUCGUCCGUGAAAACCUGCAGCUCAACUGCAGUCUUGCGGGCGAUACGGGCAGGCUAGAGUUCGGUAGGGGAGACUGGAAUUCCUGGUGUAGCGGUGAAAUGCGCAGAUAUCAGGAGGAACACCGGUGGCGAAGGCGGGUCUCUGGGCCGAUACUGACGCUGAGGAGCGAAAGCGUGGGGAGCGAACAGG
rnacentral:rRNA from 1 species